rnacentral:rRNA from 1 species
UACGUAGGGUGCAAGCGUUAUCCGGAAUUAUUGGGCGUAAAGAGCUCGUAGGCGGUUUGUCGCGUCGUGCUGUGAAACUGGGGGCUCAACCCCCAGCCUGCAGUGGGUACGGGCAGACUAGGAGUGCGGGUAGGGGAGAUUCGGAAUUCCGUGGUGGUAGGCGGUGAAAAUGCGCAGAUAUCAGGAGGAACGACCAACUAGCGAAGGCAGCUCGCUGGGACGGACUGACGCUAAGGCGCGAAAGCGUGGGAGCGAACGAGG